AGGAAUGACACUCAUCGCAUAGGAUUUUAGUGAAUAUUAAGUAAGGCAAUCUGUUAAUAAUAAAAUUACCUUUCUACAUGUUUUUAUUUUUAACAGAUCAAUAAGCAUUUUCAGAGCAAUUAGGUCAUUUCUCCAAGGUCACAGUCUAUAAAGCAGAGCAGGGUUUUUCACAUAUCUCACAAGGCAAGGUGAAUAUAAGCUUUAAAUUUGUCUGUAUUAAUUAAUGAAUCCAUAUUCCUAAUGCCUAGUAACAAAUCCUACAUUCACUCAGUUCUUCAGGAGCCAAGAGAAGAUACUGAUCCUGAGGGGGCUGGAGCAGCUCCAGGUCAGUGUCAGGGGCUGAGACCAGCAUUGGAAGAGAAGGCGUGCGGCUUAGCAUGGAGGCCAGGAGGGGAAACGCAAAAAGCCAGCAGAGCCAGCUGCUUGGACCCAGGGGUCCUUGGUUGUUCCCAGGGCCCAGGUCAUGCCCUGUAAGAGUGGAGCUUAUGAAGUUACCCACACACCUAUCUCCAGAGACUCUCAUUUCCAACCUGCUCGGGACCCAAGAAGGCUCAGUUGUUCAGAUCUAAAAACGCAUUACAUAAUUUUCCUCGCCAUUCAUUCUUCUAUAUGAUAGCAGGGAGAAAAUCCGCUUUCGUGCCUUGACAGAUGUGCGGUUGCUAAUUUAACUAGGGCUGCUUGGAGGAGGGAAGAUUCUGUCCUGCUGCGGGCCCUGCUGUGCAACUCAACUCAUGACCGAUCCUGCAGAUCACAGGAGACCCCGCAGUGCUGGAAGAACCCAGAGCUCAGGGCAAAGGGGAGCUUCGAGCGCUCCUAAAAUAUAGGUCUUCGCCUAUCAUUUUAAAAUGAGGUUUCUUUUCUUCUCCCCAGCUUCUGCUUUCUCCUAG